rnacentral:rRNA from 1 species
GGAUACCUUCGGGACCCGUCUUGAAACACGGACCAAGGAGUCUAACAUAUGUGCAAGUUAUUGGGAGAUAAACCUAAUAGCGUAAUUAACUUGACUAAUAAUGGGAUUAGUUUUUUAACUAUUUAUAGAUAAUUAACACAAUCCCGGGGCGUUCUAUAUAGUUAUGUAUAAUAAUAUUUAUAUUAUUUAUGCCUCUAACUGGAACGUACCUUGAGCAUAUAUGCUGUGACCCGAAAGAUGGUGAACUAUACUUGAUCAGGUUGAAGUCAGGGGAAACCCUGAUGGAAGACCGAAACAGUUCUGACGUGCAAAUCGAUUGUCAGAAUUGAGUAUAGGGGCGAAAGACCAAUCGAACCAUCUAGUAGCUGGUUCCUUCCGAAGUUUCCCUCAGGAUAGCUGGUGCAUUUUAAUGUUAUAUAAAAUAAUCUUAUCUGGUAAAGCGAAUGAUUAGAGGCCUUAGGGUCGAAACGAUCUUAACCUAUUCUCAAACUUUAAAUGGGUAAGAACCUUAACUUUCUUGAUAUGAAGUUUAAGGUUAUGAUAUAAUGUGCCCAGUGGGCCACUUUUGGUAAGCAGAACUGGCGCUGUGGGAUGAACCAAACGUAAUGUUACGGUGCCCAAAUUAACAACUCAUGCAGAAACCAUGAAAGGCGUUGGUUGCUUAAAACAGCAGGACGGUGAUCAUGGAAGUCGAAAUCCGCUAAGGAGUGUGUAACAACUCACCUGCCGAAGCAACUAGCCCUUAAAAUGGAUGGCGCUUAAGUUGUAUACCUAUUCAUUACCGCUAAAGUAGAUGAUUUAUAUUACUUGUGAUAUAAAUUUUGAAACUUUAGUGAGUAGGAAGGUACAAUGGUAUGCGUAGAAGUGUUUGGCGUAAGCCUUCAUGGAGCUGCCAUUGGCACAGAUCUUGGUGGUAGUAGCAAAUAAUCGAAUGAGACCUUGGAGGACUGAAGUUGGAGAAGGGUUUCGUGUGAACAGUGGUUGAUCACGAGUUAGUCGGUCCUAAGUUCAAGGCGAAAGCCGAAAAUUUUCAAGUAAAAAAUCAGUGAGUAAUAUUGUCAAAUCUUUUAUGAUUUUUAAAUACUUGAAUAAUUUUGAACGAAAGGGAAUACGGUUCCAAUUCCGUAACCUGUUGAGUAUCCGUUUGUUAUUAAAUAUGGGCCUCGUGCUCAUCCUGGCAACAGGAACGACCAUAAAGAAGCCGUCGAGAGAUAUCGGAAGAGUUUUCUUUUCUGUUUUAUAGCCGUACUACCAUGGAAGUCUUUCGCAGAGAGAUAUGGUAGAUGGGCUAGAAGAGCAUGACAUAUACUGUUGUGUCGAUAUUUUCUCCUCGGACCUUGAAAAUUUAUGGUGGGGACACGCAAACUUCUCAACAGGCCAUACCAAUAUCCGCAGCUGGUCUCCAAGGUGAAGAGUCUCUAGUCGAUAGAAUAAUGUAGGUAAGGGAAGUCGGCAAAUUAGAUCCGUAACUUCGGGAUAAGGAUUGGCUCUGAAGAUUGAGAUAGUCGGGCUUGAUUGGGAAACAAUAACAUGGUUUAUGUGCUCGUUCUGGGUAAAUAGAGUUUCUAUCAUUUAUGGUAGUUACUUGUUCCCCGGAUAGUUUAGUUACGUAGCCAAUUGUGGAACUUUCUUGCUAAAAUUUUUAAGAAUACUAAUUGGGUUAAACCAGUUAGUUCUUAUUAAUUAUAACGAUUAUCAAUUAACAAUCAAUUCAGAACUGGCACGGACUUGGGGAAUCCGACUGUCUAAUUAAAACAAAGCAUUGUGAUGGCCCUAGCGGGUGUUGACACAAUGUGAUUUCUGCCCAGUGCUCUGAAUGUCAAAGUGAAGAAAUUCAAGUAAGCGCGGGUCAACGGCGGGAGUAACUAUGACUCUCUUAAGGUAGCCAAAUGCCUCGUCAUCUAAUUAGUGACGCGCAUGAAUGGAUUAACGAGAUUCCUACUGUCCCUAUCUACUCGCUUUUUGACUGCCAUUCGAAGCAGACGUGUUUUUCAAGCGGUCCGCUAUACCGUCGUUCGAAUAAAGUAAAAAGUGAUUUUUCCAAGUGGAAAAGACAUCAAAAUUGCCGCGAGAUCACGCGCUGUUCGUGAGUGAAAUCGGGUGUUAAUUUGGUGAAAGAACAAAGCAGAUAUUUGCAAAUUAAUAUUUGCAAAAUAAACGCUAAAAAGAACCACGUGCGGAACCCUAGUUCGUAAACAAGUGCGAAUAGUUCGACAACAAGUCGGAAUAGUUCGACAGCACGUUCGAGUUCGAAGCUUUGGUUCGAAGCUUUGGCUCGAGUUCGAAGCGUUCGGUUCGUGUCUCCGCUGAGACGUUGGUUCGAGUCUCCACUAAGUGCCGAUUAGUUGAGUCACGCCAAUAGAGGUAGCCACAACCCGCCGGGCUAUGGAAAUAGAGACGGAGGCCGACGCCAGCGACACUAGCGUGGCUAGUGUAGGGGCGAGCUCGUCGUCGAGCGUUCCCGCCCGCAGGCGGGUUCGGCCGAAGUCCUCAGCCGCCAAACAGGGAGCCAAAAAGAUCGGGCUUGGGAUUGGGCUAGCUGGAGAGCGGCCGAUCCCAGCCGAGAGAUCGCCGCCAACGUCGCUCCCCUUUGAGCAGGCUCCAUCCACCUCUGCCGCUGCCGCUGCCACCACCGCUGCCAGUACUUCUGCCAGUACUUCUGCCGCCGCUGCCGCCACCGCUGCCGCCACCGCUGCCGCCACCGCUGCCACCACCGCUGCCACCACCGCUGCCACAUGCCCGGCAACUGACAUUGU